UACGUAGGCAACAAGCGUUGUUCGGAGUUACUGGGCGUAAAGGGUGCGUAGGCGGCUUUUUAAGUUUGGUGUGAAAUCUCCCGGCUCAACUGGGAGGGUGCGCCGAAUACUGAGAGGCUAGAGUGUGGGAGAGGAAAGUGGAAUUCCUGGUGUAGCGGUGAAAUGCGUAGAUAUCAGGAGGAACACCGGUGGUGUAAACGGCUUUCUGGACCAUAACUGACGCUGAGGCACGAAAGCGUGGGUAGCAAACAGG
rnacentral:rRNA from 1 species